UCCCAUGGCCUCCUAAGGCUUGAAAGCACCACACAAAUCCUACAAUCUCCACCUGGGUGCACCUAAGCCUUGGCACACCCGAUAAUGUCCUCUUGCACCCCACUAUCGAUGCUCACCCUGACAGGCCCUUGUACGACCCUUGCCCCUGCUAAUCCUCCUCAGCUCUUGAGCUCUCCUUGAAGCCUGUGGGAUGACCACCUAUACUGCUGAAGACCCUAGCUUGCUCCUUUGCACCACCCCUAGAGAAUGUUGUAGCCACCCUUCUAUUCAAUAGUCGCAUUAACUGUUGCUCUGGACUUCCCCAA
rnacentral:lncRNA from 1 species